rnacentral:rRNA from 1 species
GUCCUAGCCGUAAACGAUGGGCACUAAGUAGAGGGGUUUUGAUUAUCUCUCUGCCGGAGCUAACGCAUUAAGUGCCCCGCCUGGGAAGUACGGCCGCAAGGCUAAAACUCAAAAGAAUUGACGGGGCUCGCACAAGCGGUGGAGCAUGUGGCUUAAUUCGAUGCAACGCGAAGAACCUUACCGGGGUUUGACAUGGUAGAAGUAGGAGCCAGAAAGGGUAACGAACGGUAUCCAGUCCGUAACUAUCACAGGUGUUGCAUGGCUGUCGU